CUAAGGCCCCAAAGUUAGCAAAUUAUCAAUCGUUACAGAGUCGACCCCUCACCUUUGAGUGCGCGUCCUAACUUGUAGUACAUGGUGUAAAUGGAUUUGUUUUGGGUACCCAGAAAGCAACRAACGUGACCGCAACGUCUUGUUGUCUCUCUUUGACAGUUAUGGGUUAUCCCAGUCAUGUGUUUAUACUUUUAUGUGUAAAUACGUACGACACAGAGACUAGAUACCAAACUAGGCGUACCGCUGUAUCAUUUCUUUAAACCAGAGGAAGGUUGCGGCAAUAACAGGUCUGUGAUGCCCUUAGAUGUUCUGGGCUGCACACGUGCUACAAUGAUCAGCACAGUAAGCAUCUCAAUUUUUACAACACCGKCAACACACGUAGUGAGCUGCUUGAUCUCUCAUUCAUGCAUUCUGUGCUUCGGUGCAGUGUGCAAUGUGAGUUGUCUAAUGCGCGCGGUUAUGCCUGUACCGAGAGGUGACGUCGGGUAAACAUUCUCUAAUGCUGACCUAUUUUUCUGAAAUAUGCACAACUCUAAUAUGACAUUCAUUCCCGGGAGGACUAGUUGCCUCUUUGUGUGAGUGUAAUGCAAACAUGAAUAGCGACUGUCGCUGUUUACUCAUAUGUGCCCCUGUCAAUUCGUGGUGGGGACAGACCAUUGCUAAUUGUUGGUCUCGCUUAUAACUAGGAAUGCCUAGUACGGG
rnacentral:rRNA from 1 species